rnacentral:lncRNA from 1 species
GGAAGGUCUUCUCCGUGGAGAUCUUUUCUCUGGAGUUUUUGGUGAGCCCUGAUCCUCCGAAGGAGAGGUUUCUGGAUAUCCUCAUGUUUCCGCUUCACAGCUGUUGAGUGAAGAGACUGGCACCUACUUCAAGCAGCCCUUUCAAUGCUGCUGUGUACAAAGCUAUUGGGGUUGGAUUUCACACCUCUCAGGGUAACUGAGAGCAAGAUUUGCCCAGUUGCUGAAGAACACGAGGCUAAUAGUAGAACAGCCCAUGCAAAAAUUGUUGCUUUCAGCUCUGACAAGCUAAAAUGUAGCUAGAAGUAAUGGUCCCUCAAGGGCCCUUCUUCAUGGAUCUACUGAUUAAACUGACAAAUACUUUUCCCUAUCUACCACACAGCAUUUUAUGCCAUCUUUUGGGAAACUCAGGAAGGGUUUCUUUAGUGAAUGUGAUAUUGGUACCAUGGGAAGAGAUCAGUCUUGCGACUGCCCUUCAGGACAGAAGGAAAUCAUACUCUGCAUAAAGAAAAGCUCCUAUGCGUCCCUAGGUCAGCUGUGCAAAUGUAUAAGACAGAGCAAAAACUAUCUCAAAAAGCAUGACAAAUUCCUAUCAAGUUUCUUCUAGCAUUCUCAGUACAGUUCAAAAGCUCUAAUGUACUGAAAAUUCCAGUCUAGAACUUGAAUGUGGAGGUAGCACUGUGCUGGAAGGGCACCAAAAAGCCCCUUGAUGAGUUACUGAUGUAAAGCAACGCGGUGCAGAGCUUAAUGAAAGCACAAUCCCCUCUGCUGGGGAUCUACUGAAGGUUCUUAUUGUAAAAGAAUGGGGCCACUGAUAUCAAUCUCCUUUCCCUUUCUUCAAAAAGGCUGUUUUAUAAGUUGUGUCUUUAGGUAUAUUGUGGAGUUCCAGCUUAAGGUUCAGACCUGUUAGUGAAAUCAGCAGUGUUGUCUUAUGCAGCUUCUUAAAGUAAAAGUCCAAGGCCCUUUCCCAAGGAUUCCCGCAUUUAGAGCAGCUUCUGCUCUGUCCUAAUUAAUAUCAGGAAGGCCAGUUCAACUCUGCUGUGAAAUAAAUGGAGACAGCAACUUACUUGUCUGGAUCCUAGAAAAAUCCUAGCUGUCCUAAGCUGUUUUCCCAGUAAACAAAGAAGGCAGGCUGUGGAUGAAUUAUCAAGUUAGAGAUUGUCUCUUGACUAGAGUUUAACUGAAUAAAUAGAUGCAGAUUUUAAACAGCAUUAGAAUAGCACAUCUUUUGCCAGCUACUGUGUUUGUAAACACUGAAUGUUAAUUGAAAAUGCUGUUACCUAUGAGCCUGUAUGAAGUUAGAGGAAUUAUUGGAGGAUGGGGUGUGGGGGCUCGGCUGCUUUAUUGCUUGGCUAAUCAGAAUGUUUUGGUGCCAUUAAUUAUGCUCAGUGGCUAAGCCUGUAUAUAAGUUAAAGACUUAAAAAGGAUGUGAUUUGAAGUUCUUUUCUAUUUCAUUUUGUAGGUAGUGUAAGUGAUUCUGUGUCAUGAGAAAAUGUAUACAACACUGAUAAAUCCAUAAAGUAUUUGAC